UGGUAGCCUGGUAACAUACACUCUCAGGUCUUUCUCUGCCUCUGUGGUGGAUAGUGGAGUGUUUCCCAUGUGGUAUUGGUGUGCUGGAUAUCCCUUCACUGGUAGCCUGGUAACAUACACUCCCAGGUCUUUCUCUGCCUCUGUGGUGGAUAGUGAAGUGUUUCCCAUGUGGUAUUGGUGUGCUGGAUAUCCCUUCACUGGUAGCCUGGUAACAUACACUCCCAGGUCUUUCUCUGCCUCUGUGGUGGAUAGUGGAGUGUUUCCCAUGUGGUAUUGGUGUGCUGGAUAUCCCUUCACUGGUAGCCUGGUAACAUACACUCCCAGGUCUUUCUCUGCCUCUGUGGUGGAUAGUGGAGUGUUUCCCAUGUGGUAUUGGUGUGUUGGAUAUCCCUUCACUGGUAGCCUGGUAACAUACACUCCCAGGUCUUUCUCUGCCUCUGUGGUGGAUAGUGGAGUGUUUCCCAUGUGGUAUUGGUGUGUUGGAUAUCCCUUCACUGGUAGCCUGGUAACAUACACUCCCAGGUCUUUCUCUGCCUCUGUGGUGGAUAGUGGAGUGUUUCCCAUGUGGUAUUGGUGUGCUGGAUAUCCCUUCACUGGUAGCCUGGUAACAUACACUCCCAGGUCUUUCUCUGCCUCUGUGGUGGAUAGUGGAGUGUUUCCCAUGUGGUAUUGGUGUGUUGGAUAUCCCUUCACUGGUAGCCUGGUAACAUACACUCCCAGGUCUUUCUCUGCCUCUGUGGUGGAUAGUGGAGUGUUUCCCAUGUGGUAUUGGUGUGUUGGAUAUCCCUUCACUGGUAGCCUGGUAACAUACACUCCCAGGUCUUUCUCUGCCUCUGUGGUGGAUAGUGGAGUGUUUCCCAUGUGGUAUUGGUGUGCUGGAUAUCCCUUCACUGGUAGCCUG